CGAGACCUCAGGUCAGGGCGGGGCUACCCGCUGAAUUUAAGCAUAUCAAUAAGCGGAGGAAAAGAAACUAACAAGGAUUCCCUUAGUAACGG
rnacentral:rRNA from 2 species